AACGAACGCUGGCGGCAGGCUUAACACAUGCAAGUCGAGCGCCCCGCAAGGGGAGCGGCAGACGGGUGAGUAACGCGUGGGAAUCUACCCAUCUCUACGGAAUAACGCAUGGAAACGUGUGCUAAUACCGUAUACGUCCUUCGGGAGAAAGAUUUAUCGGAGAUGGAUGAGCCCGCGUUGGAUUAGCUAGUUGGUGGGGUAAAGGCCUACCAAGGCGACGAUCCAUAGCUGGUCUGAGGGGAUGAUCAGCCACACUGGGACUGAGACACGGCCCAGACACCUACGGGAGGCAGCAGUGGGGAAUAUUGGACCAUGGGCGCAAGCCUGAUCCAACCAUGCCGCGUGAGUGAUGAAGGCCCUAGGGUUGUAAAGCUCUUUCACCGGUGAAGAUAGUGACGGUAACCGGAGAAGAAGCCCCGGCUAACUUCGUGCCAGCCGCCGCGGUAAUAC
rnacentral:rRNA from 1 species